UCGGCCGGAAGAUACGUUAUCUAGUGGCGGACGGGUGAGUAACACGUGGGUAACCUGCCUUAUGGAGGGGGAUAACAGAGAGAAAUCACUGCUAAUACCGCAUAAGCACACACACCGCAUGGUACAGGGUGAAAAGAUUUAUCGCCAUAAGAUGGACCCGCGUCUGAUUAGCCAGUUGGCAGGGUAAAAGCCUACCAAAGCAACGAUCAGUAGCCGAUCUGAGAGGAUGACCGGCCACAUUGGGACUGAGACACGGCCCAAACUCCUACGGGAGGCAGCAGUGGGGAAUAUUGCACAAUGGGGGAAACCCUGAUGCAGCGACGCCGCGUGAGUGAAGAAGUAUUUCGGUAUGUAAAGCUCUAUCACGCAGGGAAGAUAAU
rnacentral:rRNA from 1 species